rnacentral:rRNA from 1 species
GACGAACGUCUGGCGGCGUGCUUAACACAUGCAAGUCGAACGAGAGGACAGGGGAGCUUGCUUCCUAUGAAAUCGAGUGGCAAACGGGUGAGUAACGCGUAAACAACCUGCCCUUCGGAUGGGGAUAACAGCCGGAAACGGCUGCUAAUACCGAAUACGAUCUUUUCGUCGCAUGACGGAAAGAAGAAAGGAUGGCCUCUAUACAAAGCUAUCGCCGAAGGAGGGGUUUGCGUCUGAUUAGCUGGUUGGAGGGGUAACGGCCCAACAAGGCGAUGAUCAGUAGCCGGUCUGAGAGGAUGAACGGCCACAUUGGGACUGAGACACGGCCCAGACUCCUACGGGAGGCAGCAGUGGGGAAUCUUCCGCAAUGGACGAAAGUCUGACGGAGCAACGCCGCGUGAGUGAAGAAGGUCUUCGGAUUGUAAAGCUCUGUUAUACGGGACGAAAAAGACGGAUGCCAACAGUAUCCGUCCGUGACGGUACCGUAAGAGAAAGCCACGGCUAACUACGUGCCAGCAGCCGCGGUAAUACGUAGGUGGCAAGCGUUGUCCGGAAUUAUUGGGCGUAAAGGGGCGCGCAGGCGGUUCGGUAAGUCUGUCUUAAAAGUGCGGGGCUUAACCCCGUGAGGGGACGGAAACUGUCGAACUUGAGUGUCGGAGAGGAAAGCGGAAUUCCUAGUGUAGCGGUGAAAUGCGUAGAUAUUAGGAGGAACACCGGUGGCGAAAGCGGCUUUCUGGACGACAACUGACGCUGAGGCGCGAAAGCGUGGGGAGCAAACAGGAUUAGAUACCCCUGGUAGUCCACGCCGUAAACGAUGGAUACUAGGUGUAGGAGGUAUCGACCCCUUCUGUGCCGUAGUUAACGCUAUAAGUAUCCCGCCUGGGGAGUACGGCCGCAAGGUUG